AGAGACAGCAGUCGCCGCGGUAAUACGGAGGAUCCAAGCGUUAUCCGGAAUCAUUGGGUUUAAAGGGUCCGUAGGCGGUCUUGUAAGUCAGUGGUGAAAGCCCAUCGCUCAACGGUGGAACGGCCAUUGAUACUGCAGGACUUGAAUUAUUGGGAAGUAACUAGAAUAUGUAGUGUAGCGGUGAAAUGCUUAGAGAUUACAUGGAAUACCAAUUGCGAAGGCAGGUUACUACCAAUUGAUUGACGCUGAUGGACGAAAGCGUGGGUAGCGAACAGGAUUAGAUACCCCUGUAGUCCCUGUCUCUUAUAA
rnacentral:rRNA from 1 species